GGUAGAGCAGCAAUGCUUGAGAGUGGCGAACGGGUGAGUAAUAUAUCGGAACGUGCCCAGUCGUGGGGGAUAACGUAGAGAAAUUUACGCUAAUACCGCAUACGAUCUAAGGAUGAAAGCGGGGGAUUUCGCAAGGAGCCUCGCGCGAUUGGAGCGGCUGAUAUCAGAUUAGGUUGUUGGUGAGGUAAAAGCUCACCAAGCCGACGAUCUGUAGCUGGUUUGAGAGAACGACCAGCCACACUGGGACUGAGACACGGCCCAGACUCCUACGGGAGGCAGCAGUGGGGAAUUUUGGACAAUGGGCGAAAGCCUGAUCCAGCAAUGCCGCGUGCAGGAAGAAGGCCUUCGGGUUGUAAACUGCUUUUGUACGGAACGAAACGGUCUGCUCUAAUACGGUGGGCUAAUGACGGUACCGUAAGAAUAAGCACCGGCUAACUACGUGCCAGCAGCCGCGGUAAUACGUAGGGUGCGAGCGUUAAUCGGAAUUACUGGGCGUAAAGCGUGCGCAGGCGGUUAUAUAAGACAGUUGUGAAAUCCCCGGGCUCAACCUGGGAAUUGCAUCUGUGACUGUAUAGCUAGAGUACGGUAGAGGGGGAUGGAAUUCCGCGUGUAGCAGUGAAAUGCGUAGAUAUGCGGAGGAACACCGAUGGCGAAGGCAAUCCCCUGGACCUGUACUGACGCUCAUGCAC
rnacentral:rRNA from 1 species